AGCAUUAAAUCAUAUGGCUUCAACUAAAUUCUCCCUUCAGUCAAUUUUGCUACUUUGCUUGAUUAUGUUCUCCCUUCUGGCUCUUCAUCAAUGUGAAGAAGAUACGAACGUUAAAUCAAAACGAAAGUUAGUACUUGCAUCAAAGUUCAAGGGAAAUAUUGUUGUUUAAUAGUUCAACCUCGACAAUGCUAUCCUUUACUUUUUGAAUGUGAGGAAAAUUGUCCUCAUCUAUGGAGAUUUUUGAAGAACAAUAAUGUUAAUUAAUUCCAAAAAUAUAUAUUAUGAUUUAUUUCAA